AGCUUCAGUAGCGUAUAUUAAAGUUGUUGCAGUUAAAAAGCUCGUAGUCGCAUUUCUGGCGAGAGGAUCCGGUCCGACCUUUUGGUGGGUUCUUGGGUCUCUUUCGCCAUCCUUGAGUGGUCCGUUCUGGCAUUAGGUUGUCGGAGCGUCAGCCGCUCAUCGUUUACUGUGAGAAAAUUAGAGUGUUCAAAGCAGGCUUAUGCCGUUGAAUAUAUUAGCAUGGAAUAAUAAGAUAGGACCUCGGUACUAUUUUGUUGGUUUGCGCACCAAGGUAAUGAUGAACAGGGACAGUUGGGGGUAUUUGUAUUUCGUUGUCAGAGGUGAAAUACUUAGAUUUACGAAAGACAAACUGCUGCGAAAGCAUUUACCAAGGAUGUUUUCA
rnacentral:rRNA from 1 species